rnacentral:rRNA from 1 species
UACGGGAGGCAGCAGUGGGGAAUAUUGCACAAUGGGCGCAAGCCUGAUGCAGCCAUGCCGCGUGUAUGAAGAAGGCCUUCGGGUUGUAAAGUACUUUCAGUCGUGAGGAAGGUGUUAAGGUUAAUAACCUUAGCAAUUGACGUUAGCGACAGAAGAAGCACCGGCUAACUCCGUGCCAGCAGCCGCGGUAAUACGGAGGGUGCGAGCGUUAAUCGGAAUUACUGGGCGUAAAGGGCACGCAGGCGGUUAAUUAAGUUGGAUGUGAAAUCCCCGGGCUUAACCUGGGAAUGGCAUUCAAGACUGGUUAGCUAGAGUCUUGUAGAGGGGGUAGAAUUCCAUGUGUAGCGGUGAAAUGCGUAGAGAUGUGGAGGAAUACCGGUGGCGAAGGCGGCCCCUGGACAAAGACUGACGCUCAUGUGCGAAAGCGUGGGGAGCAAACGAGGAUUAGAUACC